rnacentral:misc_RNA from 1 species
UGCACCCCUCUCGCAGGUCAUGACCUCUUUGUCGCACAGCCCCCGCACAAGAGGCGGCGCGCGGACGUUUUUUGCACUCGUGAAUCUGCGCAGCGGGGGACGCCGCUCCUCAGAGUACGUGCUCCACAAGCUGAGCGAUACACUUGGCGCCGAUCGGGUGUGGGUCCUCUUCGAAGGCGGAACUGCGGAGCGUCACCGCUCUCAGCUCGAGCUCUUCCUACGCAAGCAGGCGCCCAAGUACGUCAUUGUUGCCGGCGGUGACGGUACCAUCUCCUUCGCGAUGGAUGUAAUCAAGCGACUGCACGAUCAAAACUUGCUCUCACCCAACCGUGGCGUGAUUGCGCCUUUCCCGCUCGGCACCGGCAACGAUUUCAGCUUUACGCUCGGCUUCGGCAGCGGUUUUGCACGCUGGAUCGUGCUGGGCGAGAAACGCUUCCAGCGCCUGAUGCGCGACUACGAGACGGCCACCGUCACCAACGUUGAUAGAUGGUCUCUUCACGUGACUACCACGACGGCACGGCACCCCAGUGGUUUGGUGCACACCCACGUAUUCAACAAUUACUUCUCCAUCGGUUUUGAUGCAGCGGUGGCAAACCGACUCAACCGCUUUCGCGGUCGUCACCCCAAUCUCUUCACAACUAGGCCAGUGGUCAAGCUGUGGUACGCUGCCUUUGCCGUCAUGGCUCUCUUUACCGAAAAGAAGAUCGGCUCCUCCAUUCUGCUUGAAGUUGACGGGCGCCGCGUGCCGGUGCCGGCGAGUGCCAAAUCUGUCGCGGUGUGUAACAUGCUGACGUACGCCGGCGGUGCUGUCGCCUGGAACGGCGAUGCCGUUGACCACUACGCAAAGCCGUCUGUGUGGGAUGGCCGCGUGGAGAUUGUCUGCUUCUAUGGCAUAUGGCAUCUGGCGCUUGUGCGCCUCGGCUGGUGCUAUGGGAAGAAGCUCGGACAGGGCACCACUGCCUGUAUCGAAACCGAUUGUCACUCCUGCCAGUUUGAUGGCGAGGAGGUGCUGAACGUGGCGGACAGCAAGGGCAAAUCGACGUUCCGCAUUCUCCACUUCUCCACUUCAGAGUGCCUAACCGUGCCGCCACGGCAGGAGACGAAUGUUUUUGUCCUCCUGCUCGCGCUUGCCGCGGCGGUACUAGCCAUCGUCGGCAUUUUGUACCGCUCCCCCGUUUCGUAGUACCUGUAGAUUCCUGUAAGCGGGCGGGUGACUGGCAGUGGCAGCAUAGAGUGCAGAUUGCAUGCUGGCUAUUGCUCCGCUAGCAUUGUGGUGCCCCCACCCCCCCCACCCCUCACGGUCUGUUUGUGCGAUGGGAACGUCCGACCCGGUAUUGAGCCCAGUGUGCUACUCGAGAUUCGCUGACCACUCGGAGCUCACAGCACACCGCAUUUCACGCCAUGGUCCUGCACGCAGUGACCUGAUUACCCACACAGCACGCGUGCGGCACGGGCUUCCCUCUUCGCAUGUCCACGACUGCCCCCUGCUCCCCCACAGGACGGCAAGCUAUGAACUCUUUGUGCGCAGGCACGUCUCUCCGUGGGCCCCUUCCGCUUGAAACCCGCACGCCUUUCAAAGGGGUGCGGGUUCAGGAGAGGACGGAAUGCCCCUGCUGCGGCAGGGGCCCAUGGCAGCCUCUGAACUGUCGCAGUGCGUGCGCGCAAAGCAUUCCAAACGUGCCACGCACCCCGUGGCAUGGACGGAAAGGGAAGACGCAGACAGCGGGGCUCCCAGACACCAACGUUGCCCUGAGAAAGGCCCCAUGGCACGGGGCAUGUGCAUCAUGUGCGCGGGCGCUGUCCAGCAUAGCUGGCACGGUGCGCCACAUCCACGCAAAGCGUCGAGAGAGGUUAGCACAGCGAGAGUGAUGGGCGGGAAAGGCGCAAAGAGAUCCAUGCAAAUCAGCCCCGAAGUGCAUGUGGUAGGAAAUGUGCGGCAUCUUCUGCAUCCGGCCGGGGUGAGCUAAUGAAGCGCAGGUGGCGAAUGCGUGACGAGAGCACCCCGAAUGGCACUAUCGAGUCCUUCGGGCUCCCAUGCGGAUCGUCUCCACUCCACUUUGUGGAAUAUAACGGCUUGAAGCUGCUCAGAGGGCGAAGCACGGCGCACAGGCGGGGUAUGCCGAGAGUCUCAGCGAGGGCCCUGACCUGAGGCUGGAACAACUUUCUCGUUGACCUCAUCCGGGACGCACCUGGACCACUCCCUGUUACCCGCAUGACGGACGGCACCCCGUUCGCCCUCGGGCUCGACCCUGGACGCGGCCGGCGUUGAAUCAAGGAAGACAGUCCACCAACCCCCGUCUGGGGCCGACAGCACAGCGCACAUCCGAAGAGGGCACGAGAGAGAAACCGUUAGGCGCACUGGCGCAGUUCCACAGCACGAGGGUUCGUCCUAGACGACCAGGAUGUAGCUGCAGUGCUACAGCGGUUGAUGAACUGUGGUUUUAUGCGUAUAGACGUACACUUGGUGGUAUACGGGUACUUUAAACAAGAGCAAUCUGUUUCGCAGGACAGCUGUCUCUCCCCAUGUUGUUUUGUGUGCGAUCCUCUUCAUUUUCCGCAGGACGCUGAGUACUGGAGCCAAUGAACGUGCGCAGACUGUGCCGAUGCCUGCCUAUGUUUACUGCCUCCAAGUACAGUUCUGCCAACUAGCCCAUCCUUCUCUUUUCCAACAACGGUGUUCCGAGCGUGGAGGGGAACCCCCUCCCUCGUUAUCGCCGGCGCAGCGGCUGCUCCGCAUGUGCUUGAAGAGAGAAGAAUAGGAUUAAAACCGAUACCGGUUACACAGGACGUGUCCCUCCUCCAUCGUUUUCUCCUCCACGUCGGUCACACCCAGCUGAUCACGCAGCGCCCCGUUCAUGGAUUGCUGGCACACCGCGUCUUGAAGCCCAUGCGGCCACCUCUACUCCACCAUCCUCAUUUUUCCUUCCUCCUCUCCGACAACCUCGACGCAUCUCUUGCUUCAACGUAG